rnacentral:rRNA from 1 species
CCUACGGGAGGCAGCAGUAGGGAAUUUUGCGCAAUGGGCGAAAGCCUGACGCAGCAACACCGCGUGAAUGUUAAGCCCUUCGGGGUGUAAAGUUCUGUCAAUAGGGACGAAUUUUGACUGUACCUAUAAAGGAAGCACCGGCUAACUCCGUGCCAGCAGCCGCGGUAAUACGGAGGAUGCGAGCGUUAUCCGGAUUUAUUGGGUUUAAAGGGUGCGCAGGCGGAUUUUUAAGUCAGCGGUCAAAUCGUGGGGCUCAACCCCAUCCAGCCGUUGAAACUGGGGAUCUAGAGUUUGCGAGAGGUAUGCGGAAUGCGUGGUGUAGCGGUGAAAUGCAUAGAUAUCACGCAGAACCCCGAUUGCGAAGGCAGCAUACCGGUGCACAACUGACGCUCAGGCACGAAAGCGUGGGUAUCGAACAGGAUUAGAUACCCUGGUAGUC